rnacentral:rRNA from 1 species
AUUGAACGCUGGCGGCAGGCCUAACACAUGCAAGUCGAGCGGAUGAAGGGAGCUUGCUCCUGGAUUCAGCGGCGGACGGGUGAGUAAUGCCUAGGAAUCUGCCUGGUAGUGGGGGAUAACGUCCGGAAACGGGCGCUAAUACCGCAUACGUCCUGAGGGAGAAAGUGGGGGAUCUUCGGACCUCACGCUAUCAGAUGAGCCUAGGUCGGAUUAGCUAGUUGGUGGGGUAAAGGCCUACCAAGGCGACGAUCCGUAACUGGUCUGAGAGGAUGAUCAGUCACACGGGAAGUGAGACACGGUCCAGACUCCUACGGGAGGCAGCAGUGGGGAAUAUUGGACAAUGGGCGAAAGCCUGAUCCAGCCAUGCCGCGUGUGUGAAGAAGGUCUUCGGAUUGUAAAGCACUUUAAGUUGGGAGGAAGGGCAGUAAGUUAAUACCUUGCUGGUUUGACGUUACCAACAGAAUAAGCACCGGCUAACUUCGUG